rnacentral:lncRNA from 1 species
GAAUUUUGCUUGAAUGAAAAAUUCUGUAUGUCAGAUGCUAUCAUGUGUACCCAUCCAUUUAAAAUCCAAUUUAAUGAAGUUGUCGUCCAUAUGUAUACUUACUAUUUGAAUUACCUGUGCAGGGCUAUAUAUCCCUAAUAAAUUUUGACAUCUAAAAAUGGAUUUUUUGAUUACUUUAAGACAUUUCAAAAUAAAAUAAAAAUUUUGUAGCCUGUUUCCUUUUCAUACCACUAAAACAAAUGUGAAUUAUUUUACAAGGAGAGGGGAAAAAAGUGGGUCAAGUAGCAAUAGGCACCUCUCGUACUUAGAAAAGGAUUCCAGACACCCUGAUUUUUGACAGACUGUACUUGUUGUCUAGGACUUGGUUAUUCUUGACACCAAAUGUUUUCUCUACAAGCACUUACAGGCAAUGGAUUUGAAAGUGCAUUGUCUCAAGUGGAAAUUCUUUCAAGAGCAGUAUUUCAAAGAUCUCUGUACAGCUUUGCAAAUGGCCAUAUUAACAGUUUAGCUUAUAAGGAGUAUAGUAAUUUAUAAGCCAUUGACAUCAUCUCACCAUUUUUCUAAAGCUAAAUAUGAGCCAAACUCUUAUGGAAACCAAUAAUAAUUUUCUGCUUCACUGAAAAAAAGCUGUAGUACAAUCAUCUGCUGGAAUCAAUACAUUUUGAAAAAUCAUAACUAAUUUUUUAAAGAAUCUGUUUGAAAACAUUUUAUUCCUGUACUAAUAUCUACUAAAUACAGACAUGACAUUUAUGAGCUAGACCCACAAUUUCACAACCCUGGUACCAGGCUACUAUUAUUUGUCAAUCUGAUGUAUGCAUGCCCUGAAAACUUACAGAAUCCAAGAGCCACUCCAGAGUGACAGUCCAUGUUUAUGUAGAUUUGGGUAUAAAAGGAAUAGAUUCAUUUUAUUUUCAAAGACAGGGGGUUCUAUUUUUCUGUCAAGUGAAUGAGUCCCUUACAUUUAGUUAAAAUAUGUGGUUUCACUGGAAACUUCCAAAGAACUGGAGAGAACCAAGUUGUCGAAAUGUAGCGUUGAUAGAGGGUAUUCCUGCUCAGCAUUAAGAGAAGAGAGGGAUAGGGAAAACAUGGCAGGAAAAGUGCUCCAUACAUUUGAAACUUUAAUAUUUCCCUUCUCUCCACAACCUUCCACAACACAGUUGCUUCUUCUUGCCUUUGUUUGUAUCGUCUUUACAACAUUUAUGCUACAGUAAGUGCACAGUCUACCCUUUUGUCCUUUUUGCCUGUCAAAAGGGUCCCAUGAAUGUUCUUUGGCUCUAAGGACAGCCUAUGAGAUUCAAGAACUUAACGAACAUGAUCAGAAGGAUCCCUGAUAUUCAGAAAUGCUGGCUAUAAAGCAAAAGGGCACGAAACUUUGCUUUUAGUAAUAAUAAUAACUAUUAUUUGCUUAGAGCUCCUUAGGGUCUGUGUGCUAAGAUUCUCUUUGAAAUCUCACAACAAUAUAAGAGAUAGAAACUAUUCAUACUUUCAUUCAUUCAAAUAAAUGAAGUCAAGUACCCCUGACUCAACAGCAUCACACUACAUGCAGAGCGUACUAUGAUCACCCAAAGAUACAUGACCACUGCCCUUACUGCCUGUAGAGCAAAACAGUGUCACAUAUGAGGCAGUAGAGUUAACUUUAUAUCCUCCCAACUACUUGGAUGUAUAGACUUAACCAUGUCUCCCAUUAUAACAUACACAAAGCCUUUUUAGCUAAAUAAUUGAUCAGAUGUUGAGGCUUCAAGCCAAAGACCCUUAUUCAAAGCCCUCCACUGGGCAGGUGUGAAUUUGUUCCUCAUGGUAAACUUGGGGAAAUCAUUUAUUCUCGCAGAGACCCAAUUUCCCAAUUCUAAAAUGACCUAGUAUGAUUAGGUGAUCUUUGAUUCCCUUUCAGCUAUAGAAUUUUAGAUUUCUUGAUGGAAAUUAUUUAUACAUAGCAGAUGGGCUCAGCAAGAUUUUUAGUUUAAGAAACCUAUGAAAUAUGACAUGUCCAUUUACAACUAAGGAUAUGGAUAAAGCAGAGUAGUUUACAGGGCAAUGGGGUCAGUGAAAAAAGGAACUCAUUCUGUAACAUGAUUUUCUUUCACAAUUCAGUCCUGUCCUUAAUAUUGAGCAUGCACUUUGAAGACCAUUGCCUGCUACUGUCUCAGGUGGUGAGACUCCUCUACUAUAUUAAAGGUAGAGAAAGAGAGAGGGAGAAUUAAGAAAGAGAGCGGUAGAGGGUGUGAUGAAAUAGAGGUGGGCCAAGGGACCCAUUUAUUGAACUAUAAAACAAACAGAGGAAUGCAGGAGUUUAGAGAACGGAUAAAGGGAGAAGUGACACUGAAGAAAGUGUCACCAACAUAAAAAAAACUUCUUCCUUAAUCUUUUAUGAAGGCUUUCUGGGCUGAAGGGUAUUUGGGAGAUUAGUAAGUAUUAUGGAAAAGCAUAAACUUUGAAUUCAAAUAGACCUAGGUUUAGAACCAAGCUAUUUGAACUUGAAGCUGUGUCUUAACAGAGCCUCCAUUUCUUAUUUAGAAAAUAGGAAUGAAAAUAUACAUUUGAAGUCUAAAUAUUUAACAUAUAAAAAGAUGAUGAUGUUCAGAGGCAUUCAUAAACUACAUUUCUAGCUGAUGUCUUUAGCUUAAAAAGUACAAAUUUGGUGAGAUUAAGUAAUCUUCCCCAAAUCUCAGGCUAGUUUGUGAUAGAGUCAACCACCGGAAGAAAAAGAAAUUCUUCCCCACUCCACACUGCCCCACUUCUUCCUAUUUCCACCCAUAUUGAAACCGUGCUCCCACUGCAGAAUACCAAGAACAUUAAAAGGACUAAUCUAAACCUGUACAGAUACGUAUUUUCUAAAUAAUGUGAUUAUUCAAAUUUUUAUGCACUACUAUUGUUAUCUUGCAUACUUGCAUUUCUUUCCCUGAUAUCUGUUUUGUAUUCUUCAUCAAGAGUGAAAAAACACAUGUAGGAUCAAAUAACAUAUAAUUUAACUUACUAUAUAUUUGCACCGCCAUUUCUUGGAUGUACUUUAUGACAUUACUAGGGGUCAAUUACUUUAAUCAAACUCCUUUAUGAACCUGAUUAUAUCCACGAAUACCAAGUCUUUUCUCACACAAUAACUCCAUUAUUAAAGAAUAUAGUCCUAUAACACACUGCUUAGAAACCUCAGCCAAACCCAACGACCAUGUGAUAGAGCAGUCUCAUGGAUUUGUUCGUUAAGACCAACCCUGACAAAAAGAUUUUUCUUUCUGCAUCUGAAUUUACUACUGUAGCUCCUCUGUACCACAGCCUACCCCCUCCAACAAACACAGGAGCUACCAGAAAUAAAUGCCAUUAACUCCCAACCUCCAAUCUGACAAACAACUACAUCUACCCUUUCUUCAUCAUCAGAUUAACAUUGCGUCUUGAUGUAACGUGGAUCCUUUCACCCAUGAUAUCAUAACCCUCUGUUGUCUCAGGCUAAUGACUUGGCCAUUUAUAGCUUCUAUCUCCAGUAGGGUCAACAUCUUUUCCACUGUCUCCUUCAUGUUAGCCUUCAUGCACAGCCUCCUGCUGUCUUGGAAAAUCUCUCUCCACCCCCCAUGCUGCUACCUCCACAUACUGCCUUAUCUCUUUCCUUUCCUUGAGGGACAAAUACCUUAAAAUAUUUUAAAAUAAAUUUUAUUGUGGUAUAAGUAACUUACAAUGUUGUAUUAAUAUCAGGUGUACAGCAAAUUCAAUCAGCCAUAAAUAUACAUAUGUAUCCAUUAUUUUUCAGAUUCUUUCCUCAUAUAGGUUAUCACAGAGUAGUGAAUAGAUUUCCCCAAGCUAUAAAGUAGUUCCUUGUUACUGGUCCAUGUUGCAUAUAAUAGUGUCUAUAUGCCAAUCCCAAUCUUCCAAUCCGCCCCUCCCCUCAGUGUUUCCCCUUUGGUAGCCAUAAGUUUGGUUUCAAAAUCUUUGACUCAGUUUCUGUUUUGUGGAUACUCCCUUUUGUAUCAUUUUUAUUAGAUUCCUCAUAUUAGUGAUCUCAUACGAUGUUUGUCUUUCUCUGUCUGCCUUACUUCACUUAGUAUGAUAAUCUCUGGGUCCAUCAUGUUGCUGCAAAUGGCAUUAUUUCACUCUUUUUUUUAAUCACCAAGUCCACUGUAUAUGUGUACUAGAUCUUCAUCUGAUCCUCUGUUGAUGGACAUUUAGGUUGCUUCCAUGUCUUGGCUAUUUCUAUUUCAUUUUAUUUCUAUUUUCACUUUUAUUUAAUAUUUGCUCUCAAUUCAUUUCAUUCUUACUUCUCCCUUCACCAAUUUAUAAAACAUUAGCCUAUGUCUUCCUUUUACUAAAUCUAUUAGAGUCUUUUCAGUCCUUACGUGACCUAACUGCAGAAUUUGUCACUAAUUUUUACUUCCACUGUCUUAAAACAGUCUCCUUUCUACUACUUUUAGGACAUCAUAGUCUACAAUUGCUAUAGCUGUUAUUCGGAAUAAUAUCAGUAGUAAUAGCAGUGGCAUUUGAUGACUUCCAAACCUCUCUCUCUCUGGCCCAAAUACUUCUUUUGAGCAGGCACCUGGAACUUGGUUUCCACAUCUACAUUUAAAUGAAUCUGGUCCAGAAGUUUACACAUCUUCUCUUCCACACUACCACUCUCCUCCUCUUAUGCCUCUUAGUUCAAUGAAUGGUAUCACAGUCCACCCCUUUGUGCAAAUGUAAGUGAUCACUCUUUUCACUUCACUUUCCACAUCCAGUUAAUCAAAUUCCAUGGACUAUAUUUCCUAUUUACAUUUGAAAUUUACUUUAUUUCUUUCCAUACUCAACACCACCCUUCCAGGUCAAUGCACUAUCAUCAUGACAUAUUCAAUAGUACCUUAAUUGGACUCUGUACUCUCAGUCUUACCCCUUCUAAAACAUACAUUUGACUGUGUCACUCCUCUACUUAAAAUAAUCAAUGCCCAUAGGCUCAAGUCCAAACUCCACUACAUGUUCAUCUCCCCAUAACUUCUUAGCCUGCUGUUUCCCUUUCAUUCUUUUGAUCUUAUUUAGAUGUCACAUUCCAAAGUCUGAAUCAGAGUUCCUUCAUGGCUCAGUGGUAACAAACCUGACUAGUAUCCAUGAGGAUGCAGGUUUGAUCCCUGGCCUCACUCAGUGAGUUAAGGAUCUGGUGUUGCCACAAGCUGUGGUGUAGGUUGCAGACAUGGCUUGGAUCCUGAGUUGCUGUGGCUGUGGCUAUGGCCAGCAGCUACAGCUCCAAUUUGACCCCUAGCCUGGGAACCUCCAUGUGC